rnacentral:rRNA from 1 species
UACGGAGGGUGCAAGCGUUGUCCGGAAUCACUGGGCGUAAAGGGUGCGUAGGCGGCGCCGUAAGUCGGAUGUGAAAUCUCGGGGCUCAACCCUGAAACUGCAUUCGAUACUGCGGUGCUAGAGGACUGGAGAGGAAACUGGAAUUCACGGUGUAGCAGUGAAAUGCGUAGAUAUCGUGAGGAAGACCUGUGGCGAAGGCGGGUUUCUGGACAGUUCCUGACGCUGAGGCACGAAGGCCAGGGGAGCAAACGGG